UACGAAGGGGGCGAGCGUUUUUUUUUUUUUUGUUCGGAAUUACUGGGCGUAAAGGGCGCGCAGGCGGCUCUGAAAGUCAGAUGUGAAAGCCCCGGGCUUAACCUGGGAAUUUGCAUUUGAUACUCUGGAGCUUUGAGUACGGGGAGAGGAUAGUGGAAUUCCCAGUGUAGAGGUGAAAUUUCGUAGAUAUUUGGGAAGAACACCGG
rnacentral:rRNA from 1 species